UGGAAGAGAGCCGCAGCCCUUCUGCUGAUGCGUGCGCGCUGCCGCCUUUUUAAGGCAACUGGCGGAGUGGCGGCUCCUCCAGAGCCCAGGAGCUGUCUCCGCCCCCCAGCCGUGAGCCUGGUGCGGGGUUUGGGGUAUAGGGUCUUGGCCCUGGAAAUCUCCCGGCGCCAUCCACCCCAUCCCACCUCUAUCUGAACGCCCUCCACCACUAUGGGGACGUUUGAGCCGUGGAGAGAGGAGGUCCUGCCCUUGACCCUCACCACCACUCACCUCCUACCCCCAACAGGGGAGACUCUUUUGUAGGAACCUUGGAAGGAAACACGACGCCGGGUCUAGCGCUUGGGGAUCCUCUGGACAAGGCCACAGAGGGACAAAGCCAGGUGAGGACCUCACCGCCCUCAGGGCCUCCUCCCUCAAGCAGCGGAUUUAACUUUUUUCUCCCUGCACUCGGUCUGGAGCCAGAUUAAGGUCUCAGGCUCAUUCAUUUGAAAAGGAAACUGAGGCUCAGAGAUUGGCCAGGGUCAAGUAGCCAGUUCCUAGAAGAGCAGAGCCCAGAGAGCUUCUUGGCCAGAAGUCAGUCUCCUGUUCCUUGUUGCUGAGGUAGCUGGUACAGUGCGUCUACCUCUGGCCCCUGCCCAGCACCCAGGCAAGAGGCCAGACAGCUCGGCUCUGAACCAGCUGUUUCUUCUGCAGCACAUUCCAGACCUAGAUGGGCUUUCUGGAUCAAUGGUCACUCUAGACAAGCGUCUGGAUCCCAUGGACUCCACCACCACCAACCAUGUUGCAUCUUACAAACACUGACUUUUAUCAAAGUCUUCCUGCACCCCUAAGCUCUCUGGAACUUCCUGAAAUCAAACCUUUCCAGGCUGCCUACAAGUGUCAGUUGGCUUCUGGAUGAACAUGUGGCUGCUGGGCUCUGGCAGGCCCCCCAUAGCAAAUUGGACUCCAACCUUGGACAUCCUGCCCUGAUGCCCCCUGCACUCCCCUGCAGCACCCACCCACGGAGAACCAUGGAGACCAGCACACAGUGUUUGACCAUUUCUAAGGAGCAGGGCAGUUCCCGAUAUCUCUGAGCACCCAUUCUGGACUGGCCUGGGGGCCCAGAACUGGACCUCAUCAAGACCAGCACUUGUGCUCCAGACCAGCUCCAGGUCUAGCAAAGGAGAGAGGUUUGUAUUCUGGAGAAAUUAGUCCUGAGCUCUGAAUGGCGCUUCCAGGGAACGUGUUUUGCCAAAGCCAAGACAUCAAUGCACAGGACAGGGAACUGAGACAGUCUUCAAGGAGACGUAAUUUGCUAAGGUAACAUGGCAAGUCAGUGUGUUUGUUGCUGAGAUGAGUACCCAGAACCUUGCCUCCUGGCCCCAGGCUCUUUGCACCUUCACACCAGAGGCCAACCUUUACACCAGAUCCCUGUGUUGUGAGCCAAGGAUCUGGCUUGUGAUCCAGCCCCCACCCCACCCCCGCCAUGUGACUGUCUCUUGAAUUGUUUCAUUCUCUGCCCUAGGCCUCAAUCACCUAAGACCAAUGACUAAAUAGCCCCUGCUCCAUUUGUGAGUCUGGGACUCUCCGAAAUGUGGGUGUUGGGCCAGGCUGUGGGGUCACUCUGCGGCCAGCUGUGGGACACUGCUGUGGGGUUUUCUCCCUCCCACCAGACUGUGUGGAUCACUCUAAGGAUUACUUGGGGGUCUGUUUUGUGCACAUUGGACCCCACUGGACCCCUUCAAUGAAGCUGCUACAUCAAUGAACCAGAAACGCUGCUCCCCACUUCUUGCCAUGAUUCAGCCAACUCUGUGCAAUUCUGGCCUUCACAGUGCUGCAUUCAGACCUGGCCCAGAAGACCUUCAUCUUUUCCUACCCAGGCUCCAUCCCCCAGCAUGGCCCUGUGUCCCUCUCCGUCCCUGUUUGGCCCACUCCCCUGUUCUGGCCAUCUCAGUGUGUGGGUGCCACCGCGUACUCUCUUCACAUGAGAUUUGUUGAUUUCAUAACCACAAAUAGAUAAAAUAUUCUGAAUGUUUUCAUGUGCAAGUAGCAUUGAAGAAAUGAUUGCAUAAUCAAAAGGCCUCAGGAGAAAGAAAACAGCCUGCAGAGAUGCAGCUGAGCGCAUCACAGUCAUGGCACAAGCCAGCUCUACAUGAGUCUGUGUUGUCACUGAAGAGACUGGGCAUCACAGACACCAGACUACAGAGGGUACUGGAGAAUAUGUUCGGAAACCCUUACGUGGUUUCUAAUUCAAUUCAAAAGAACAAUCAAAUAAUAAUAAUAAUCUGGUUUUAAAAAAAAGAAGUUGAAGUCAGGAAAUAUGGAUCCUAAUUCUGGAUUUAUCUCCUGCUAGCUCUGUGACAUUGGGAAGUCACUCAAACUGUCUGAGAAAUAUAUAGAUAUUCUUCUCCUGGAAGGUUCAGGAGGCCUGAGGUGCCAUGAUACCCUCAUUUUCUUCCACUAAGGAAAAUUCGUCUCCCUGACAGUAACUUAUCAUCACCUUGGGACAAUCCCUCUUCCCAAGAUGUAGUCCUGAGAGCUGGGCUCAUGAUAGGGAUGGAAUGGUUGUGCCUUGCCAGGUCCAACUCAUGUUGCCAUGGGAACAGGAUGUGGAGCAUUAUUUCUGCUCCACAGAAAAUUGUACAGGUGUAACACAACUACAAAGUGGGCUGGAAGACAGUAAGUCUCCCCAGUCUCUCCUCCAUUAAGGAAUACUUAAGGAAUACUACUGCUCCAUGGCAUUUGGAAAAGCAAAGGGAGAUGAAAUGACAAGUUAGAGUGCCCUGGACUGAGAGAGAGAAAGAGUGGAUAUAUUUUGCAAAGAGCUUGUCCUCUAUUGAUGGCAAACUUUUUCUGUAAAGGACUGAGUAGUAAAUAUUUUGAGUUUUAUGGGCCAUCUGGUCUCUGUCAUCACCACUCAACUCUGCCACUAUAGUGUGAAAAGACAGUAAGUAAACUAAUGGAUGUGGAUGUGUUUCAAUAAAACUUUAUUUACGAAAGGAGGUAGUGGUCCAGAUUGGCCUGUGGGUCAUAGUGUAUAUGUCCCUGAUCUACUGUGUGAUGCAAGACAAUAAACCUG